UUUGAGAUUGAUUUUGUCUUAGUUUUGAUUAAAUUAAUUGUUAAAUAAUAUUAAAUAUGAAUUUUUGUGUGAUUUUGUUUUAUCUAAAUGAUAAUUUUGUUUAUAUUUGUAGUUUUUAGUUUUGAUUAACAGAUGAUUCUGGAAUCAGUUAAUUUAUUUUAGGAUUGUUUAAGGUUAUGCCAGCAAACGCGGUUAUAUAAUCAAUCCAAAUUAAUUUUUUUGGUUAUUAUUUAUUUAUUAUUUUUGAAGGUUAAUGUAUGUUUUAAAGGUGAAAUUUUAAAUAUACUUAUAUUUUUUAGGUUGAGAUUAUAGGAAGGUUAGUUAAAAAACUAGGAUUAGAUACCCUAUUAUUCUAACUGUGAAUUGUUGACCAUAGUACUAUUAGUUAAGGUCUUUAAAUUAAAAGGAUUUGGCGGUAAUUUAGUCUUUUCAGAGGAAUCUGUUCUGUGAUUGAUAAUCCACGUUGGAUUUAACUUUAAUUAUCAUUUGUAUAUCUCUGUCAUUGAAUGUUUUAUUAGGAUAUUUUCUUUUAUUAUUAUUUAAUAAAUGUCAGGUCAAGGUGCAGUUAUAUUAAAGGUUGAAAUGGAUUACAUUUAAUUUUAUUUAUUGGAUUAUAUGUGUUGGAUAUGAAUAUGUUAUGAAAAAGGAUUUGAAAGUAAUUUUUUUUAUUUUAUAAUAAUGAUUUUAGCUCUAAAUUAUGUACACAUCGCCCGUCAUUCUCAUUUUUAAGAUGAGAUAAGUCGUAACAAAGUAAUUUUACCGGAAGGUGAAGUU
rnacentral:ncRNA from 1 species